GAGGAAGAUGAAUCAUCACGAACUACCGGAGAAAGAAUCAGAGGUGUUUUUCUUGCAUGUAAGUGUGCUUUUCUGAUUAAGGAUUUGAUAUUUGUUCAAGUCCAUUAAGAAGGGAGCCAAGGAAGAAGCAAGGGGAAGUUAGUACGGAAGAAAAAGUGAAAGCAAGUGCAAGUACUCCUAAGUGCAAGAGAGCAGUGAUCAGUGGAGUUUAAAGGUGCAGAAAGCUAGCGAUCUUUUGUAUAUAUAUUGUGCUUAAAAUGCAUCUUAUUUUGAAGUGAAGAUAUAUUAUAUAUCUAUUUUGGUAUGUAAAUAUUCUUCCACAAGGAGGUGGUUAAGAGCAGAUAAACCAUGAUAACUGAUACUGAAGGAAGUGAUCAAUAUUUUGAUAUAUAGUUAUUAUUUUGUAACUCGUUGUAUGAGCCUAUGGCCAAAAUAUUGAAUGUUAGAUCCUACUGGCUAUAAUUGAUUUGA